GAGCGGGUGUCUGGAGGAAGGGCCUGGGGUUUGGCUGACCGGGGCCACGCAGCAUUUCCCUGGGUCUCCCCAGAGACCCGGGGUGGGUCCUGGGUAUUGAUGAGAAAGUGACCCAGAGCUGGAGGAAGAAGUGGGGGAAAUGACAGCUUCUCAGGGACUUCUGACAAUCGAGAAUGCGGCCAUUGAUUUCUCUUCAGAGGAGUGCAAAUGUUUGGACCUCAGUCAAUGGGAAUUGUACAGAGAUGUGAUGUUAGAGAUCUGUAG
rnacentral:lncRNA from 1 species